rnacentral:lncRNA from 1 species
AGGUCAGAGGGAUACUUAUACCCAUAUCCUUCGUGAGCUACUCUUGACAGCAGAGUGCUCAGCAGUUGAUCACAUUCAGUGAGAUGUACUCUUACGUCUCACUUGCAUGCCAUGUCAGUGUCUCCACACUCCUUAGUUAAGAGGACAACUAACAUACAUGGCACACAACGACCUAUACUUGAUAUAGCUAUUGUCCUAAUAAUAGUAUAUCAUUUGAUCGUGAACUUAAGGUUUAAGGACUAAACGAUAUAUCCUCCUAUAUCAAAUCAAAUAGUCUUAAAGAUUUCAUCACAUAACAAG